rnacentral:rRNA from 1 species
UACGAAGGGGGCUAGCGUUGUUCGGAAUUACUGGGCGUAAAGCGCACGCAGGCGGAUUUAUAAGUCAGGGGUGAAAUCCCGGGGCUCAACCUCGGAAUUGCCUUUGAUACUGUCUAUCUUGAGUCCGGGAGAGGUGAGUGGAAUUCCUAGUGUAGAAGUGAAAUUCGUAGAUAUUAGGAAGAACACCAGUGGCGAAGCCGGCUCACUGGCCCGGUACUGACGCUCAUGUGCGAAAGCGUGGGGAGCAAACAGG